UCUUUGUUUAUUUAUUCAUUUCUAGUUAUUUAACCCUUACGUAGAUUUUCAAAACUAUGGAAUAUAACUUAGAUUUUUCUCUAAAACUGUCGACUAAUAGUACAAUUACGUCGGGAUCGAAGUCGGGCUCGAUAAGCAAUUAAUUUAAACAACACACCGCGCCGAAAUUUAAAUUUUUGGUGGGUUACACGCAGCCAUGUUGAUGUUGUACAGAAGGAAAGUUCGGAAGAGAGUGUCGCGAAAAGGAGAAUCAUGACUAGUUUUGGAUGGAAUUUCUGUUUUGACAGAAGAUGAAGACAUUUUACGACCCGGUACUGCGUUGCAUGCAGUGGACUGUGCCCGAGACGAUUCCCUAAGCGCCGGCGAGUUGUCAGCUUGUAAAAAUGAAAUUGUGCCUGCAAAGUUUGAAGUGACUAUGGAAAUGAUCAAUAUUGAACUUUCUGAACCUUCCUACUUAAAGUGAAUCCGUUCGUGACUGACAUGACCAUUUAUUUGGCUACCCUCUAACAUAACGGCAUAUUUUAUUUGUUUAUUAUUGUGAAUUUCAUGGGAUAUCAGUGAGGAAGUGAUUCAAGCAGAUACUUGA